UCCUGCUCUUUGUAGACAUUUCCUGGUCUCCAAGCAGCACACUAAAUCUCUAAAGCAGUAGUUCUGAAUUCCUGUGAGAAAGAGAAAUGGUGCCCCAUGGGGGAAAUGCAGCAAUGUCUGGGGCUGUUUGAGCUAUAACUAUGAUAAGGGUGGAGUGGGAGAGGCGCUAUUGGAUUCUUGUGGGUAGAGGCCAGGAAUACUAAACAUGUCAUAAUACACAGGACAGAAGCCUGCAACAAAGAGUUAUCUCUCUGGCUCCAAAAUGUCAAGUGUUGGGGCUGAGAAAUCCUGUUCUGGAACUCUUCACUCUUUUUAACUGGAGAAAUGGAGGAAGCCCUAAACUCAGUCUGUCAAUUGUAUCUGGGGUCCACACCAAUGCUAGAGGAAAACAGCAACUUUCCAAUGCAAGGGUACAACAAAGGACUGGCUUCCAAGGGGAGAAGAGCAUGUAGCAGUACGGUGGCCCUCACUGUAGGGUCUAGGGAACAUGAGCACGACCUGUGGCUGCUCUGUCUGUGCUGACCACGAGAAGUGACCAACUCCACCAGGAAACCCCUGUAUCCCUCUCAGCUGGUUGGCCCUUUCCCUUUUGAGCCUGUGGUGAGGCGAAACAUCACAGCAGGAGCACAUGGUAGAGGAAGCUGCUCAUCUGAUGGAAGACAGAAAGCAAAGAGAAGAGAGAGAACUAGGGUUUCCCAGGGCACAUCCCCAAUGAUCUAAAGUCCUCCCAUUAGGCCCCACCUCUUAAAGGUCCUACCACUUCGCAGCAAUGUGAUGAGCUGCCUUUGGGGACACUUAUCUAAAUCCUAGCAAUAAACAUGCUAUAUCACUUUUUAAGUGUGGCAUCCUAAUUUGGAAUCACUGCCAGAAUUCUAUAGUAUGUCAUUAUGUUUGUCUAAUUAGAAUGACAGCUCCAGUCGAUGACUCCUCAGAUAUUACUGUCUAAAAUUCCAUAAGAAUAUAAAUUGCAAAGAUAAAGAGAGUA